rnacentral:rRNA from 1 species
UACAGAGGGUGCAAGCGUUAAUCGGAAUUACUGGGCGUAAAGCGUGCGUAGACGGUUAUGUAAGUCAGAUGUGAAAGCCCCGGGCUUAACCUGGGAAUGGCAUUUGAGACUGCAUAGCUAGGGUGCGGAAGAGGGAAGCGGAAUUUCCGGUGUGAGCGGUGAAAUGCGUAGAUAUCGGAAGGAACACCAGUGGCGAAAGCGGCUUCCUGGUCCAGCACCGACGUCAGGCACGAAAGCGUGGGGAGCAAACAGG